UCCAGGGUAAGGACCCCCACCUGACCAGGUGUGGGCUGACCCGUUGCUCCCCAACAGGAAUCUGGUAGCCUGCCCUAACAGCCCCAGCCCAGGGCUGCCUCAGUGCAGGGACAGGCCAGUAGAGGACACCACAAAGACCCAGCCCUUUCUUCCCAAGUGUUCUACUCAGCUGGCCUCUGGGACUUGCCCCACGCCUGGCCCCACAGUAAGCCCAAGCCCUGACCAAUUCGAGCCACGGAUUUGUUGAGCACAGGGUUGAGUGUGGGAUCCAGAUACUCCUGCACGUUCUGGAGCAGCACUGGGUGUCCAAACUGGAUGGCAUCUUCCAGGAUUCGAAGGGCCUGGGCCUGAGGAUCGAUCAUCAGGGCCCACCUGAAGGAGGCGGCGGGCGUCAGGAGCCGGGCUCCGCCCUUCCUGGGCCUUGUGCCCCCAGCAGCAUCCUUACCUGUUGCCACGGGUGACGAUGAUGCCAUUCUCGGUGGAGAAGGCAUCAGAGGGCAAGCCCUGGAUGUUCCAGUCGCGAACUUUGGUGGGAUUGGACAGGAAGUUAUCGAAGGUGAAGCGGGUAACGACGUUUCUCAUGAAUCAAUAUUCUAAAGGAACAAAAGUGUGUCCAGUGAAGGGUCUGGCUUCCUCCCACCGCUGACCCCAGGCUCCAGGCCCAGCCCGAGAGGGAACCUCCUCUGCCACCAUUUCCUAGUGCAGCCGUCCAGAUGGUCCGUCAGCAGUAAAGAAAGGCUGAAGACACAUCAACCAACGUGGAGGGCGAUCAAAGAUCAAAAAGUUGGAAACAAUGAAUACAUCCAUCAAAAGGGAAAUGGUGAAAGAAACGAUGGUCUGGCCGUCUGCGGCCCGGCACGCUGCAGGGACAACUCUUACUGGAUACACUUCUGUGCCUUCUGAAUUGCAAACCAUGUGGAUGUGUUUAUACUGCCUAUCAAUCAAUGACAGACUGGAAGAAUUUUAAACUCUCGAUAAGCAGCACUGAGAUUUUGUCUCGUUGGAGGGUUACUCGUGCACUUAUCUUGUAGGAAGGAGCUCACCUCUGGAUCGUCUAGCCAGCUCACGAUGCUUGUCAUCUUAAGGGUGGGCGAGCAAAGGCAUGCAUGUCCUCGGACUCUGUGAUACUUCCCUGUAUCUGUAUCACCACCGCUCUCUCUCUCUCUUUCUUUCUCCCUUAAGCUAAGACCAUCAUUUCUGUUGCUUACGACCGAAGAAACUUCACUGGUACUUAGGCCUUCUCUUCCCCACCAGGCUCUGUGCUGCUGAGGGGGAUGCCAAGCCCCAUCCGUCUCUGUCUCUCCGAGCGCCUGGUGCCCAGCUGAGGAUUAAGAACACGGGGUGGACGGGCGGCUCCCUAG